GCAAAAGCAAUAAAUUCUGAUCCAAAGUGGACGUCAAUUGUUACUUUGAAAUUAUUAGGUUUUAUAGCAACAAAAUCAGUUUAAACAAUAGGAUUUCUUCCUGUUGUGUAAGAAAAAUCUGACGUGUGCUGUUGGAAACAAAAAGCAAGAGUUGAAACAGCCGAGUGCUCAGUUUCUUGAAGCUCCAAAUUAUACCUUUUUAGGGGCAUUCGGCGGCCGUUUACGGAGAAGUGCAUAGAAUAACCGUUUAUAUUUUAUUCGGAAUACACUCGGAAGAGGGAGACUUUCCUUUACAAACAGUCACAAUGCAGAACAGCAUGAAGAGAAGUACAGUGUUUUCUUCCUUAGCAGCAUUUCAGGUGUUCAUUCUCUUAUUACUCAUCCUGUUAUCGGUGACCCUGCCAACCUCAGAAGCCAAGCCGGGUCUCUGCUCUGAUAUCUGCAACAAAAUGUGCACUGGAGAUUACUGCACAUCCAUUUGCACAUUCUACUGCUGAGAAUCGAUCAGAACACUUAAUGAUGAAAUACCGUAAGAAUGACGAAAAAUUUCGACGAUUGAGAAGGGAGAGAGAAAGAAAGACUAUUGUCUUCCAGAAACAGCAGCCGUGUGUGAUUUUAACUUUUUAACAUAAAAUUUUAAAAAUAAGAUUCAGCAAACAUGUGUGAAUAGUUUUUAUUCGUAUCAUUUUAAUAAAUGUGACUGAUUCUUUAGAAAUAA